AAGCUUUGCUUCCACGGGUAUCACUUGGAAUUCAUCUAACUGAUGAGACUUUGAUAAUUUCUCAUUAAGAUGUUCUUUAUUUUGCUUAUGUGUUUUUAUAGAUUAUGCUUAUGUUCAGAAGCUUAUAAAGACCUUUGUUUUCAUUUUGCUUAAGACUUUCAGUUUAUAGGUCGUAUGUGAGACCACAAUGACUCAGAUUGCAGAUGUGCGGUCUUGUGGGGUGACCUUAUAUGUCAUGUUGGUGGGUGCAUAUCCUUUUGGGGAUCCAGAGGAACCUAAAAAUUUCCGCAAGACAAUACAACGAAAUAAUUGCACCUUUUUUUUUAAUUAGUGUGGUACUUUGAUUGAAUUAUUUUCCUAAACUGAUGCAUGUUUGUUGCAGAGGAUUUUGAAUGUUCAAUACUCAAUUCCUGACUAUGUUCAUAUAUCUUCCGAGUGCCGUCAUCUGCUAUCAAGGAUUUUUGUAGCUGAUCCUACAAAGGCAUGAAUGGCACGAUGCAAGUUUUCUAAUUGGGAAUAAAGAUAAAGAUGUAUUACCAAUUCCAACCUCUAAGAAGGAACAAUAAAGGGAAAGUCCAUUGUUUCAGGUAAUUCAACAUUUAAUAUCGGUACUGACGUAAGCACCGAUGUAGAAACACACGUUUGUUACAUCGAUGGUCAAGGUAGCAACGUUGUAGAUAGCAUAUUUUCUAAGUUGUUGAUGAUAUCAGCAACAUUGUCAAUAAUGACUUUUCAAAGACGGUGGUUUGCUUAGGAUCGAUGUAGAAAAUAAUGUGUUUUCUACAUCUACCGAUUGAGGACCAAUGUCAAAACAUUGAACUAUCAAUGUCGUCAUGUUCUACAUCGUUUGACCACCGAUGUAGAAUGGUGUUUUCGACCGAUGUAAAAACCGCGUUUUGUAGUAGUGCUCUUUAUACUUGGACUCUUGAGCCAAAACAGUGCAUUAUGCAAUUAAGAUGAUUUUAUGUAGCACCAACUUAUUCACAGGUUUUUGCUUUGGUACCAGCCCAACUACUGGUACA